GGCGGGUCUUUGAAUUAACCUAUAUAAAGUAAAUAGAUGCAAAACAAUUCAUUAACAUUCCUUGAGUAAACAUGAUUUCAUCAAAUAAGGAUAAUGUGUUCUUGGAGACUGCUGAAUUGGCAUGUUUCUAAUGCUUUGAAUGAACAUGAUUAAGUUGUGUCUGGGGUGGCCUCCAGUCCUGAGGUGGCGCUAGUGCACCACUUUCUAAGACAAGAAGAAGCCGGAAAGUUUCAAGCCAGAGAGCCGUUCGCCUCAGCCCGGUCCUACUCUUCAGUCUCAUCUCGCUGGAAUAGUGUUGUCAUGUGUGAAGAUAUACACGAAAUUGAGACUUCUGCUGCACUGUUCGAAGUCUGUAAGAUCAGUGCUGAAUUCAAAAGAAUAACCACAGUUCCCCUGCAAUCCAAGCAACUGUUGCUGAAUUGGCUGAUUUGUACAAGAUGCACCAUUUCUGAGGACUUCUGGCACAGUGGCCUGCACUGUUCAAAGUUUGCAAGAUCAGUGCUGAAUUGAAAAGAAUCACCACAGUCCCACUGCAAUGCCCUGCACUGUUCCAAGUCCACAAGGUCAUGGAUGAAGUUGCCGUAGACGAAGCAAUUGAAGACAUCACUAUUGGAAUCUGCUCUGACAGAAGAUUGGGCAUCCCACCCUUAGGACAUUGUCAGUUUUAGUGUAUGUUUGUCACACA